rnacentral:rRNA from 1 species
GAUGAACGCUAGCGGCAGGCUUAAUACAUGCAAGUCGAACGGUAAGGUCUCUUCGGAGAUACACGAGUGGCGCACGGGUGCAUAACGCGUAUGCAACCUACCUUUAACUGGGAAAUAGCCCCGAGAAAUCGGGAUUAAUGUCCCAUAUUAUUUUCCGAAUGCAUAUUUGGGAAAUGAAAGCUCCGGCGGUUAAAGAUGGGCAUGCGUGACAUUAGCUAGUUGGUGAGGUAACGGCUCACCAAGGCAACGAGGUCUAGGGGUCCUGAGACGGUUAACCCCCACACUGGUACUGAGACACAGACCGGACUCCUACGCGGGGCAGCAGUAAGCAAUAUUGGUCAAUGCGCGACCGCCUGAACCAGCCAACCCGCGUAAAGGAAGCAUCCGCUAUGCGUUUUAAACUUCUUUUCCAGCGGAAUAAAAUUUCGUACGUGUACGCAACUGAAGGUACCCUGAGAAUAAGCAUCGGCUAACUCCGUGCCAGCAGCCGCAGUAAGAC